GCAUCCAUGGUGUAGUUGGUUAUCACGUUCGCCUCACACGCGAAAGGUCCCCAGUUCGAACCUGGGUGGAUGCA